CCUUUAGAUAUUAAUUUAAGGUCUAAUCUGCCCACUGAGGAAUUGAAUGGCCGCGGUAUUUUGACCGUGCGAAGGUAGCAUAAUCAUUAGUUUUUUAAUUGAAAGCUGGAAUGAAAGAUUGGAUGAGAAAAUAACUGUCUCAAAUUAAUUUUGUUAGAAUUUUAUUUUUAAGUUAAAAAGCUUAAAUAGUUUUAGAAGACGAGAAGACCCUAUAGAGUUUAAUAAUUUUUUAUUUUAAGAUUUAAUUGUUUUGAAAGAUUUAAAUUUAAAAAAUUAUUUUGUUGGGGUGACAGAAAAAUUUAAUAAACUUUUUCUAAAUAUUAAUACUUAUAAGUAAAUUAUUGAUCCAAAAAUUUUGAUUAUAAGAUUAAAUUACCUUAGGGAUAACAGCGUAAUUUUUUUUGAGAGUUCUUAUCGAAAAAGAAGAUUGCGACCUCGAUGUUGGAAUUAAAAUUAAGUUUUGGUGUAGAAGCUAAAAUUUUAGGUCUGUUCGACCUUUAAAACUUU
rnacentral:rRNA from 1 species